GUGGGGAAUAUUGCACAAUGGGGGAAACCCUGAUGCAGCAAUGCCGCGUGAGUGAAGAAGUAUUUCGGUAUGUAAAGCUCUAUCAGCAGGGAAGAAAAUGACGGUACCUGACUAAGAAGCCCCGGCUAACUACGUGCCAGCAGCCGCGGUAAUACGUAGGGGGCAAGCGUUAUCCGGAUUUACUGGGUGUAAAGGGGGCGCAGGUGGUCUGGCAAGUCAGAUGUGAAAACCCAAGGCUCAACCAUGGGACUGCAUUUGAAACUGUCAGACUGGAGUGCCGGAGAGGCAAGUGGAAUUCCUAGUGUAGCGGUGAAAUGCGUAGAUAUUAGGAGGAACACCAGUGGCGAAGGCGGCUUGCUGGACGGUAACUGACGCUGAGGCCCGAAAGCGUGGGGAGCAAACAGG
rnacentral:rRNA from 1 species